GCAACAGUUUGCAUUAAAAGUCUGGAAGGUACAAGAUUAAAGAAUAUUUCUAUAUUUGCCAAGUGCAGAGGUUGUUUGAAUUUGGAGGUCCAGAAGGGUUUCUGAAAUUUCACUCUGCUUCUGUGUUGGGAUGGCACCCAGCAAUGACCAAGAGCCUACAUGCUGCGCUUGUAACAACCUGCACCAGCGGAAGUGACCCACUGCUGUUCUUGCCACUGCUGAAACGCACCACCCACCGCCUCACUGUGCUCACAUCUGCUGUUUGGUUUCCAUCAACAUUCAGCAAGCAGUGUCAAUGAAUGUCAAAGGGUGUCAUUUUUUCUACACAGAAGAAUCCAGUGACAAUCUUUUCUUCAUAUGCGCUACCAUGUCAGAUGCAUUUGUCAGAUUGCCCCUCUGCUGCCAUCUGUCACACAGCAACAAAAUGUAAUGGAAUAUUGGCAGGAGGGUUCAACCUCUACUGCCAUGUCACUAACAUUUGCCUCUGACAUCAUGGGCCAACAUAAUAAAAUAUGAGGCAUUAGCUUCGGAGCAGUCCUCAUAGAUUUCUGGCGAUU
rnacentral:lncRNA from 1 species